AUCCGCUGGGCAGGAUCCGCCGCGCCGGCUGCGGCCGGCCGGGCUGGGAGACCCGCGCGGGGUAGAAGGUGAGGGGACCCGGCGGGCCGCUCGGCACAGGCCGGGACAUGAACGCCUGGAAGUCUGGCUGGGAGCGGACCCAUGAUCGAAGGACCAAAGGAGCCGCUUGAUCGCUGGACCUGGCCCUGCGACCCCAGUCAUGGGCCAGACCUCGGUGUCCACGCUGUCCCCGCAGCCCGGCAGCGUUGACGGACUGGACAAAGCUUCUAUAGCAAACUCAGAUGGCCCCACAGCAGGUUCCCAAACACCUCCCUUCAAAAGAAAGGGGAAACUAUCCACCAUUGGUAAAAUCUUUAAGCCUUGGAAAUGGAGGAAAAAGAAGACCAGCGACAAAUUUAGAGAAACCUCGGCAGUAUUAGAAAGGAAGAUAUCCACACGACAAAGUAGAGAGGAGCUGAUAAGAAGGGGAGUGCUUAAGGAAUUGCCUGAUCAAGAUGGAGAUGUAACAGUUAACUUUGAAAAUUCAAACGGGCACAUGAUACCCAUCGGAGAGGAAUCUACCCGAGAGGAAAAUGUAGUAAAGUCUGAAGAAGGUAAUGGCUCUGUAUCUGAAAAAACACCACCUCUGGAGGAACAGGCAGAAGAUAAGAAAGAGAACACUGAAAACCACUCUGAAACACCGGCAGCUCCUGCUCUACCUCCUUCUGCUCCUCCUAAGCCUAGACCCAAACCUAAACCCAAAAAAUCACCUGUGCCUCCGAAAGGGGCCACUGCUGGGGCCAGCCACAAAGGUGAUGAAGUGCCUCCCAUUAAAAAAAAUACCAAGGCUCCUGGUAAGCAGGCCCCCGUCCCUCCACCCAAGCCAGCAAGCCGAAACACGACCCGAGAGGCUGCUGGCUCCUCUCAUUCAAAAAAAACAACUGGCUCUAAAGCAUCAGCUUCGCCAUCCACUUCAUCCACCUCAUCUCGUCCCAAAGCUUCAAAGGAGACAGUUUCUAGCAAAGCAGGGACAGUGGGGACCACCAAGGGCAAGAGAAAAACUGACAAGCAGCCAAUAACUUCUCACCUGUCCUCAGACACAACAACUUCUGGCACAUCCGACCUGAAAGGAGAGCCUGCAGAGACCAGAGUGGAGAGUUUCAAACUCGAACAGACUGUCCCUGGAGCUGAGGAGCAGAACACAGGCAAAUUCAAGUCCAUGGUCCCUCCACCCCCUGUGGCUCCAGCACCUUCUCCUCUGGCCCCCCCUCUCCCUCUUGAGGAUCAGUGCAUUACUGCCUCAGACACUCCAGUUGUCCUCGUCAGCGUUGGAGCUGACCUGCCCGUCUCUGCCUUAGACCCAAGUCAGCUUCUUUGGGCUGAAGAGCCGACGAACAGAACCACUCUCUACUCAGGCACUGGCUUAAGUGUUAACAGAGAAAAUGCAAAAUGUUUCACAACCAAAGAGGAGCUGGGGAAGACAGUGCCUCAGCUACUGACUCCUGGGCUGAUGGGCGAAUCUUCAGAAUCCUUUAGUGCCUCAGAAGAUGAAGGCCACAGGGAAUACCAAGCCAAUGACUCUGACUCGGACGGGCCUAUCUUGUACACCGAUGAUGAGGACGAAGACGAAGAUGAGGAUGGCAGUGGAGAAAGUGCUUUGGCAAGUAAAAUACGCCGGAGGGAUACUCUUGCUAUCAAACUUGGCAACAGACCAUCUAAGAAAGAACUAGAGGACAAAAACAUCUUGCAGCGUACAUCUGAAGAAGAGAGGCAGGAAAUCCGACAACAAAUUGGAACCAAGUUAGUCAGGAGGCUGAGCCAGAGGCCCACAACUGAAGAAUUAGAGCAAAGAAACAUCCUAAAACAAAAGAAUGAAGAAGAGGAACAAGAAGCAAAAAUGGAACUUAAACGCAGACUCAGCAGAAAGCUCAGCCUGAGACCCACAGUGGCAGAGCUACAAGCUCGAAGGAUCCUGCGAUUUAACGAGUAUGUAGAAGUCACGGAUUCUCCUGACUAUGACCGCCGAGCAGACAAGCCCUGGGCCAGGUUAACACCUGCAGACAAGGAAGCUUCAUUAUUUAAAAUACCUGCUAUGCAUCAAGCAUAUACUGGAGAUACAGAUUCAGAAAUCCUUAGCUCAUAAGUAGAAAUGAAAAGUAAGAAGGAAUAAGAUCACAAAGGAAGAAUGUUCAGAACAAGAAUAGAAGAGAAGGAGGCUGAGAAAAGCACUCCAGGGAUGUUUUAGGAAGAAGCAGCAGAAGAAUAUUGAGAAGAAAUGUCCGUGAAGUGGGGAAAGAGGAGAAGCUGGUAGCACAGCAGCUUGGAAGGACUGUGUCAGGGAGGACGGACGGCCACAUGUGUGCAGUGACAUGGUGAGAGGGAGCAUUUUGGUGGCCUGAUGGGUGGAAGCCUGUGGUGGAGACAACGAGGAUCAAACACAAUCCUGAGAAUUUGGGCUCUGAAGUAUGAUGAGGCAGUUGUUCAACGUAUGGCUGGUGAUUGUGAAGGUCAAUAAGCUUGGGCAGCAAUAAGGAAAGAACUAAAUGAAUUUAAAAGCACAGAAAUGGAAGUUCAUGAAGAGAGUCGACAGUUUACAAGGUUUCAUCGUCCAUAACGAAGAGUGAGACUAUUUGGAAACAGAGACUGAUCAUCUUUGGGGGAAGCCCUGCUUCCUGAAAACCUGAUAUUGCACUGGGAUUUGAAUGUGUGUGUUUCCGUUUAACUUGUGGUGAAGGAAGUGUGUGACUCAGCUUGGCUGGGAAGUGCUCCUCACCUGUGUGGCCCAGAUGGCUCCAACAAGCAAAAGGAAGGAUGCAGUGACUCUUGCUGCCCAGAAUGCACAGCGAUGGUAAGAGACACCGUGGAUAUUCUUCAUCAGAAGCUUUAAUCAAAGAAGAUGAGCAGAAGACAAUCACUGGCUCCCUGUUACCAGAAAGCCAAAUUUUAUAAUGCGGGUGAAAGAAAAAUAUAGAUUAAAAUUGCUGGGCACUGAAAAGGGGUGGGAGUUGGAAAUCAGAAAGAAAGAGAAAUAUUUCAUUAUGUUAAUGAAGAAAAGAGAAAAUUGAAGCAUAAAUGUAUUUUUGAAGUAGUUAUUCGGUAGCUGAGAACUUAUUAAGGGAUUUAGGAAUUUAACCUCCUGAUGUGGAUUCCUCAAAGACUUGAUCGGAGAAUACUCUUGUUUCACCAUUAUGUUGGUACAGUAUAGUACCAUUAUUUUAUGUUGUGCCAGUGAAUCCAGUUGCCAGAAAUAAGUCUGAAUGUUUUCAUGCAUCUUUUUCUUAAAUGCAAGAGCUUCUACUGACUCUUAACAAGCAUGCUUACCCAAAUUUUGUUGCAUGCUUUUAAGUAGCAUUAGCUAUGCACACUUGACAUUUUUAAAUAUCCCUUUCCUAGUGUACCAGCCUUCACAGGAUAAGAGGACUGGGAAUAAAGUCAGAUGUAAUGUGACCCUAGAAAACUGUAGCAAGCUUCAGAAAUAAAUCUUUUGAUCUUUCCCUAUCUUGAUUAGAUCCAAAGUCAAAGCAACCAUACUUCACCUAGAGAAGACAGUAUUGGCAAUCAUGACACCUGUAAUAAAAACUUGAAUCCAAAGUCAAAACUUAAGCAAGAUACAAAUGUGCUGCCUGCAGUUAGUCCUGCAUGGGAAUAAGGACUAGUUAUUUUUUUAGUGCUGCAUUUUUUUAAAGUUGGAUUGCUGCUAUUUAAAAAAAAAAAAAGGACACAGAUCAAAAAAACACCCAAAGGCUUAACAGAACAUGGAAAGUUCCCACUAAGUUGUGUGUGAGGAAAUCCUCAUCUUGUAUUUUAAGAAUCUGCAGAUGGCAUCCAUAGAUACAGUACAGUAUUUACUGUCAAUGCAAAAGAAUCAGUGAGGUUAAAGUAGUGGAAGUUUUCCCUAUGAGCCUACAGUCUGUAUUGUUUACAUUAAGAAACUCUCUAUUAUUGUGUUGCUAUUUUCCAUGGAGUCACAGGCACACUAUGACUUCUGCUCCCAAAUACAUAUGACCAUAUGUAAAUACCACCUUGCAUUUCAUUGUUCUUCACAAGUGCUUUGUGCCCCUUUAAUUAAAAACACAUGAAAUGAAUAACAAAACAAGACCCAAAUAGAGUUUAUUUUAUUCUCAGAGUUUGGACUACAAUUUUCUAAGAUGUUUCUGGUUCAAGACUGUCAUUUUCUAUUUCAACCGAAAAGUAAGCAUUUAACCCGGUGAAUAAAUGUAGAUCCUGCCAUUCAUUGGUAUUUUAAAGAACCACUUGAAAUCGGAUCAUUUUAUUUAAAAAUAAAAAAUGUUAAUGCCAGUUGGCCUACUAUAAAAAGCCAGGACCAUGUUAGAAUUAGGAAAAGUAACCAGCAUUACUGCACCUCUUGUUAGACUCUGUGCAUUAAUAAAACACACCUAGAGUCUGUUGUCAUUUCACUAAUAGGAUAAGACAAAUUUUUUGCUUUGAAAAAAUUUUUCUGCAUGCCCAGGUGUCUGUCUCUGGCUGAGGUUUUGUCUAUUUUACAGUGUUUCAAUCCAGCCAUAAAAAUUAACUUGUGAUUUUUUUUUUCCCAAAGUCAUGCUUUUCCUUAAUUAUAUUUUUAUUUUAUUAUUUUAGUGUCUUGAGAAAAAUACCAAGAGAUAUAAUGUUUCUUUUAAUUGUCUAUGCUUAAUCAUCUUUAAACACUUUUUAAAUUUCUAACCACAAGACCUCUCUAUAAUGGUAAAUGUAAGACAUCACCAUUUUAUCACUCAAAGUAUGUUAUUGAAAGUUUCUAUUUGGUUGAUAAAAGGAACAAUUUUUUCCCACUUUUGAUGCCUGUGAUGCAAUUUUUUAUUGCCUACAAUGAGAUACACUUAGUACAAAAAAUGAAAAUCUGGUAUUUCAAAAUUGCAUUUCUUGUAUAAUAGGUCAGAUUUAUUAACUACUCAUACUUUUUCUUUACACUAAUCGAUACAUUUAGAAAAAAUUUUCUAAGUUAGAGACAAGUUUAAAAGUAAAAAAAAAAAAAAAUUAGCCACUGCUAGUCUACUGUUUAGGUAAUCGGAAUCACCAAUUAUUUUAUUAGAAUGAUGGCUUGAGUAAAAAGCUGUGGAAAGAAUUAAAGGAUUAUGAGCUAAGCUGUAUUUUGCAGAAUAUGGUUCUAUUUUAGUAGAGCAGAGAUGAGACAUAUCCCCACCGGCCACCCAGCCAGAGGUCUCCUACCUGGGGGCCCUAAAGGGAUGCAGAGGUCUGGCCCACCCUCCGUGCAUAGGCACCUCUGUCCACCACCAGCGUUUCAGCAAUCCAACCAGUAAGCAUAUGCUGUAUAGGAAAAAUAAAAGUGUGUGGGAAUUGGAUUUCUUUUGUUGUAACACAAUUCCAGGUUUUUGGCUAUUUAAAGUUUGACAUUAGGCUGACAUCGAGGAAGUAAGUGGGUUUUCCUGAGUUCCCAAGAUAUGAUUAAGGAAGAAAACAAACCCAUCUCCAGGAAGAUCCCAGGCAGGAAAGAACUAGACAGAUGUAGAAACCAAAGUGACCAUUUUAGUUUUUUUAUUGGAGAAUAAAACAUUAAUAUUAGGGUAUUAAGAAGAUGCUCAGCAAGCUUGAUCAGAAUCUUCAUGGUCAUUACCAAUCAGUCUGACAAAAUAGUUCUCUGGUAGUCAGCAUUCAUUUAAGGCAGCUUGCCUGAUAAUUUCCUGUGUUAUGUGAAGUGUCUUGCACUUUCACAUGUUAGCUAUAAUUCCUUAAAUUACUUAACUGAAAUCUGUAAUAGAGAACCAUUUUGGCAUUUGAACAGCUAUUUUACAUGGAGAAAAAGCAAACACAUCUGUUUGCUUUACCCAGAAAAACUGACUUUCUGGUUUCAUCUUCAUAUUGUUUAGUAGCAUAAUGAGAGUAGUCCUUUAUCUUUCUCUAAUGUUAGUAAAUAUAUUCUGUUAGUAGGAAGUUCUGAAAUUGAAGGGAAAAUAUAUUUAAGGAAAUAAAGGAAUUCAAUACACCCUUCAAAAGUCACCAAAUACUGAAAAUAAGAGAUGAGUCCUUAAAACCUGAGUCAAAAAAGGUCCAGUUUUACAGCCUGCAAUUAAUUCAGGGCUGCGUUGGCAUUAAAAAAGAAAAUAUAUAUAUAUAUAUAUAUAUAUAUAUAUAUAUAUAUAUAUAUGUAUAUUAUAUAUACAGUAGCUUACACUUAAAAGAGGAAAAAUUUGCAUUAACAUUGCAUAUUCUGAUAUGUACCAUAUUAACACAUAACAGGCAUUUUAUUUAUGCUUCAUAGAAUCAGACAGACACAACUUUCAAAAAUCUUACUGUAUUCACAAUAGAAAAGGGUAGUCUUGUCUACCACAGAGGAGUAUGUCCACACUUAAUAAUGAAAACUUUCUUCCUUUCCUGCCCAAAAAUUUCUUCAGUCUGUUAUUAUUUUUAAGUGCCCCUUGCUGCAAAUUUCAAACAGAGCAAGAAAUCUUCCUCAGAGUAGGUGGUAUGAAAUUAAACUAGUACAAUAUAUAUGAAUUCAUGUCAUUUACCCCUGAGUAUGGUAGAAUUGUUAAAGCAUUCUUAAAUUCCAAUUAUAUGAAGCCUAUCAUUACUAGGAAAAGUAUAUUCUUUGGGAUAAGAAUUAAUUUCUUCACACUAUUAGAGCAUGUUGUGAGUAGUAAGGAACUACUUAGAUGCAAUUUAUUUACAGAAUUGUCCCUUGACCUCUUGAAAUGGCUAGAUCUUUCACUACUGUGUAGGUAGUCUCUACUUACUGGUAGGAUAGAUUACAUUGCUUUACUGGACAAAGCAGAAUGAACUUAUAUAACUAAAAUAUGUCCUAUAUUGGCUGGGUGCGGUGGCUUACACCUGUAAUACCAGCACUUUGGGAGGCCAAGGUGGGUGGAUCAGUUGAGGUCAGGAGUUCGAGACCAGCCUGGCCAACAUGGUGAAACCCUGUCUCUACUGAAAAUACAAAAAAAAAAAAGUAUCUGGGCAUGGUGGCUUGUGCCUGUAAUCCCAGCUACUUGGGAGGCUGAGGCAGGGAAAUCGCUUAAACCCGGGAGGUGGAGGUUGCAGUGGGCCCAGAUCGUGCCACUCCACUCCAGCCUGGGAGACAGAGCAAGACUCCAUCUCAAAAUAAUAAUAAUAGUAAUAAUGAAUAAAAUAAAAUAAAAUAUGUCCUCCAGGGAAAAGCAAUGACAGAGUAAUCACCAAAUUAAUAGGAACAUCUUUCUAGAGAAAGUACAUGCCCAGUUAGUUCAAACCCAGGUUUCAAAGAAGUAGCACUGGGCUCUACUGUAAAGGCAGGCAGUGACCAAGAGGUGGUGGGGAGAGAGGUAGAGUACCCUCAAAUCAUUCCCAUUUUCACUUCCAAUUUCCCUUUUGUAAUCAUUAAGCUUAAGCUAUGUAUGGAAAUGCAAAGCACCAUUAGCAUUUCUAGAAAGCAGCUGGAACCUUACCCACCAAUGCUUUUUUGAAGACAGUAUCAUCCCAAAUUUAAAAAUCCUAUUGUAUAUGUUGUAAAAUUUCUGGCAAAGAAAUGGAGGAUCCUGUGGCAGCUAUUCCCACCUAAAGCCAACCCUAUAAGGAUGGGUCAUUUUUUAGCCAUGCUAGGAUUUACUGCACACACAAAAAAUGUCAUUUAGCUUGUCACAUUGCUAGCACAGCUGCACAUAUGAGCAAAGCACUGUUGGUCUGUGUUUCUCAGUGGGGGUACUCUUGGCAUUUGGAGCUGGAUAGGUCUUUGCUGUACAGAAUCAUCCCAUGCAUUGCCAGAUGUUUAAUAUCCCAGGCCCCUGCUGACUAAAUGUCAGUAGCAUUCUCAGUCAUUGUAAACACCAAGAAUAAAAAGCAUUCCCCCAGGUUCAAAUGCCCUCCCUGGGAGGUUGGUAUCACCUCCCCUGAAUGCCACUGUCUACUGCAUUUUGAGGACACAGGGAGAAAAAGUGCCUAUCCUCAAACAUUGUCUCUGCUGCCUUGCAUUUCUUUGGGCCCUGAAUGGUUUUUCUCCCUUCAUUUUUCGAGCCUUUCUCUCAGUGCAGCUGUUCUUCAGGGAGGAGGUUACUGGGCAGCCUUGGCCAUUCAGUGGGCAUGGGGACUUGGCCUAGUCCCUAUAUAUAUAUACUUAAAGUCCCUAUAUAUACUUAAAGGAGAGAUCAUACAUGAAGAAAGCUUUUUUUUUUUUUUUUUUUUUUGCCUUACAACUUUUCUUUAGAACCACAUUAUUGGUCAUAAUCCUUGUUACUGUCAUGAGGAUUGUUGCAUGGGUUAAACACAAACACAGACUAGCAAUGCACUUGAACAAACCUGGUGGUCUUUGGAAAUAAAUCACCAUUAGAUUUCACCUGGUUAUGCUGCAUCCCAUAAGUUCCAAAUGAAUCACCUGCUUAUCCUAUUAACGAAGCAUUUAAUUCACACACAAAUGCUUGAAUUUCCCCUGUAUAAAUGUAGUCAUGCGAUUCAACUUUUCUAAUAAGAUUUGUGAAUGCUGCAUCAUGAUGAAAAUGUGGAUUAACUGUGGGUUGCAUGCCUGUUGUUCAUACUUCAGUGAUGGUCACACACAAAACAAGAUGAGUUUUACUUAGGUGAAACAUUAUUAAACUGUACUAACAAUACAGAAACAUAUUCUCUUUGUCGCUUUUUAUCACCAAAACUGAAUGGCAAAUAUGUCUUGACAUUACUUGGAUGAACUGUGGCUAGCAAAAUGGAAUUAACUUAGCCACUAUAAUUUUUUAAAACAUUAAAGUUUCUAAAUUGUUUUUGGGGCCGAGUAACGCAGAGUCAAUAAAGGUGGUUAUAUUGUAAGCUUUUAGAUGGUGCUUAAGAAUUCUUAUCUUUUUAAAUAGCAGUAUUUUUUUUUUAAGAAUAAAUUGUAAGGAGCAAAUAAGGCAGAAUGCCACUCUACCCUCAGGUCAAUUUUAUGGUAUAUGAAAAUGCCAGUAAUAUUUGUGCCACUUGCCAACUCGGGGGAGGAGGGGCUUUUCCCUUACUGGAUACUUUUGUUAUAGUUUGACUAUGUCAUUAUGUUGUUUAGAGAGCCUCCACAAUGAGAAGUUGCCACUGCAGGGCUAACUCGCCUUCAGAAAUAAUCAGAAUGAUUCAAGGGUCAAACCACUUUCAUCCCUUAAAAUAUAGGGACUAAUAUUUCUUUUUCUUUUUUUUAAAAAAAACAUUUCUUCUGUGGCUUAGAAAUGUGCCAGUGUGUUCAAAACAUUUACACCAAUUUCACCAGAUUUAGGACCUAUUAAAAAUUCAAACAAGUUUCUUUUUUUUUUUUUUUUUUCUGUGUAACAGGGAUUUUUAAAUAACGGACUAUAUGCAUUCUUUUGUUAUUUCACACUUCAGUUAAAGUGAUAACAAUGGUAAACUGUGAUCAUUAUCAGACUGACUGAAUGCUUUCUGAUUUCCAGUGAGUGAUCUAGUUCUACGUAUUACACAGGUGUAAUAUCUGUGAGUGUAAAUAACUGGAACUGUACACUGAUUAACAUGACAGUUUCUCUUUUGUUGUUCUUAUCUGUACUGUAUUAUAGUAUGUGGGUAUAAAUAUCUACAAGUAUACACACAUAUGUACUUGUAUUCCACUAUUGUAACCUGAAAGAAAGACUAUGUAUUCCCUUUUUUAAUUCCGUACUGGUAUUUGUGUUAUUUAAAAAGCAAAAUUCUGCUCUAUUUAGUUGUAUAAUAUUAGAGGAUACUUUGCUGUGCACAAUUCCAAGUGCCUUAGAACAUUGUUUAGCUUUCCUAAGUAUAUAUAAAUGCAUAUAUGUAUAAAAUUGGGAAAAGUUACCUCAAUAAAAUCAUUGGGAAAUCCCCAGUUUUAGUUUGUUCCAGUUUCUCUUAUAUUUGGAUAGUGCUCAGCCUUUUUAAAUGAAAAAAGAAAAAAGAGUAAGACAACUUCCCUAAUUGCCUGUUAUUUCAGCUUCACCUAAGUUUUUAACACCUCUUUGUAUGUAAGGUCUUGAGACAUGUAAGGCCUGGUACUUUUUAUUUAAAAUGUCUGUCUAAAGAAUUACUGCUCUUAAAAGAAACUUCCAGUAUUUUUUUUAACUUGCUAUCUUUUUAUGUCUGAGGUAUUUGAUAUUGAUGUUUUUAUUGCCAUUAUUAUAUGUAAACAUAAAAGAUAGUCCAUUUAGAGUUUAUAAUAUAGAAAAUAAACAGACUUCCUCAUUA